GUGCUCGCUUCGGCAGCACAUAUACUAAAACUGGAACGAUACAGAGAAGAUCAGCACAGGCCCUGCGCAAGGACGACACGCAGACAAUAAAAUAAAUAAAUAACCAU